UAGCAUAUCAAUAAGCGGAGGAAAAGAAAACAACAGGGAUUGCCCUAGUAACGGCGAGUGAAGCGGCAUCAGCUCAAAUUUGAAAUCUGGCUCUUUUAGGGUCCGAGUUGUAAUUUGCAGAGGGCGCUUUGGCGUUGGCAGCGGUCCAAGUUCCUUGGAACAGGACGUCACAGAGGGUGAGAAUCCCGUACGUGGUCGCUGGCCUUCGCCGUGUAAAGCCCCUUCGACGAGUCGAGUUGUUUGGGAAUGCAGCUCUAAAUGGGAGGUAAAUUUCUUCUAAAGCUAAAUACUGGCCAGAGACCGAUAGCGCACAAGUAGAGUGAUCGAAAGAUGAAAAGCACUUUGGAAAGAGAGUCAAAUAGCACGUGAAAUUGUUGAAAGGGAAGCGCUUGCAGCCAGACUUGCCUGUAGUUGCUCAUCCGGGCUUUUGCCCGGUGCACUCUUCUGCGGGCAGGCCAGCAUCAGUCUAGGCGGUUGGAUAAAGGCCUCUGUCAUGUACCUCCCUUCGGGGAGGCCUUAUAGGGGAGGCGUAAUGCAACCAGCUUGGACUGAGGUCCGCGCAUUUGCUAGGAUGCUGGCGUAAUGGCUGUAAGCGGCCCGUCUUGAAACACGGACCAAGGAGUCUAACAUCUAUGCGAGUGUUUGGGUGUCAAGCCCGAACGCGUAAUGAAAGUGAACGGAGGUGGGAUCCCUUUAGGGUGCACCAUCGACCGAUCCUGAUGUCUUCGGAUGGAUUUGAGUAAGAGCAUGGCUGUUGGGACCCGAAAGAUGGUGAACUAUGCUUGAAUAGGGUGAAGCCAGAGGAAACUCUGGUGGAGGCUCGCAGCGGUUCUGACGUGCAAAUCGAUCGUCAAAUUUGGGCAUAGGGGCGAAAGACUAAUCGAACUAUCUAGUAGCUGGUUCCUGCCGAGU
rnacentral:rRNA from 1 species